AAAGUUGCAAACUAGCCGGCAAGGCCCCAUAUCGGGCGCGCCGGGCUUCGGCCCGGAUAUGGCGAUAAACGAUGUCGUGGAAUAGAUGCAGCGGACCCGGGGGCAGUACCCGGCGACUCCACCAACACCCCCCGGUUGUCGCGGGAUGAAUGGGGUCGAACCAGGAUCGACGUGUAUUCAAAGACGAUGUUUUCGCCCGGCCUGAAUGCGCCGUAAAACCGUUCAUUCACACAAAUGCCAACGACAACGAGGCAUUCGCAAUCGCAGCGUAACCCGGUCCUAACGGACUAAGUUACACUGGCCGAAAGCGCGGGACGGGCCGCCCCGGGCAACAGAAGCGGAAACC
rnacentral:tmRNA from 1 species